UACGUAGGUGGCAAGCGUUGUCCGGAUUUAUUGGGCGUAAAGGGCGCGCAGGCGGUCCGUUAAGUCCGAUGUGAAAUCUCCCGGCUCAACUGGGAGGGGUCUUCGGAUACUGGCGGACUUGAGGAGUGAAGAGGUGAGUGGAAUUCUCGGUGUAGUGGUGAAAUGCGUAGAUAUCGUAAGGAAGACCAGUGGCGAAGGCGGGUCUCUGGACAGUUCCUGACGCUGAGGCACGAAGGUCAGGGGAGCAAACGGG
rnacentral:rRNA from 1 species